GACGGACGCUUGCGGCAUGCCUGAGAAAUGCAAGUCGAACGGAGGGAGCGGAGCGAUCCGUCUCCUGAGUGGCGAACGGUCGAGUAACACGUAAGCAACCUGCCCGGAAGCGGGGGAUAAGCCGGGCGAAAGCCCGGGGUAAUACCGCAUAGGCCUGGGGGGAGACCCUCUCCCUUCAGGAAAGGAGCGAUCCACGUUUCGGAGGGGCUUGCGGCCUAUC
rnacentral:rRNA from 1 species